rnacentral:lncRNA from 1 species
CAAACUCUAGAUUCGUGAUGCUUUUGCCUCUCGCCUCGGCCUCAAAUCGCGUCGAAUCUAUCCAAAAUAAUAAUUAUAAUGUCAAAAUAUGCUAAGAGAACGAAGCCAAUACGAAAAUAAUCAAAUUGCAACAUAAAUCUCGAAAUAAACUAAACCUGACUCCGGUCCCACGUCUCGAAAUCCAAUAAAAAUUACAUGAAUAAACUCCUUAACCUCCCACGAGUCCGUACAUACCAAGAAUACCAAAAUCCAUUUCCUUACCGGUCUCUCAUGUGUUUUGGUAGGUCGGGGCGCCUCUAAGAAGGCGAGGAAUACGAAGCAGCAGAAGAAGAAGACUGCGGCCGUUCCUUCUUAGACGGCAUCCGAUCUUGAGGCGGAUCUGAUCUUCGUCCGCACUUCCAUCUAACAGGAGGAUACAUCAGAACCGGCCCCAAAGAUAGCAUCUGAGGCCGUGAUGGGGGUCGUACCUGAGACAGCACCUACAGAGGUGCCGAUGGUUGUCCCUGAGAUUGCCCUCGUAAGGAUGCCUUCUGCCGUGCCAACCCCCUCUGAGCCCACUCUGCACCCUGAAGAGGGGGACUGCGAAGAGGAGGAGACGUUGGAGAGGAGGCAAUGUCGGAUCCUUACUCGCAAAGCCGUGGCCACCCAGUCAGGAAAGGCUAGGCCGUCUGGCCCUGUAUCAAGGCCGGCCUUUAUGGCAGAGGCUAUUCGCUCAGGAAGAGCUGAUCUUAGGAGGGAGGUCGCGGUGAGGAGAAGCGAAGACAUGGAUAUGGCGGGCUCGGGGGCGGCCAUGGAUGGUGCAAACAGAGGAGGCAAGUCCUUGGACAUGUUGGAGAUGAUGGCCGGCCAAUCUUCUCGUCGUACAGUGAUCCCAAGUCUAGGAAGAGCUGAUCUUAGAAGGGAGGCCGCUACGAGGAGAAGCGAAGACAUGGAUGUGGCGGGCUCAGGGGCAGCCAUGGAUGGCGCAAAUAGAGGAGGCAGGUCCUUGGACCGGGUGGAGAUGAUGGCCGGCCAAUCUUCUCGUCGUAUAGUGAUCCCAAGGCACUAUAAUAUGAUGGAGAGCUGUGAGCAGGUGGCAUCCAGCAUGACGCGCUUGUGCGUCGGUGCCGAGCGCAAAGCAAAAGAAUUUAAUGAUUACAUGAUCAAUAGGAGGCCUGAAAUUCAAUGUGAAAGGGUAUGUAUGUACAAAAGAAAACCCAGUCAACUAAGAAGUGAUUCUUUGGUUUGUGUUGGGGAUAAUAAUGGGGAAGUCAUUACUUCAAUGACUGUCACACCUCCUUUUUAUACUACAUCCCGCAAAGGGCGUAGAAAGGGAGUUUUUACAAUUAAAGGACAAUCGAAACAGGAUUUAGUUAAUUAAAAAAUCAGAGUCGCCACUUGGGAUAAUUUAUGGUGUCCCAAGUCACCAGUUGAAAUCCUGAAUUAGGAAAGGCUUGACUUUGUAUUAUAGCCUGCAGACCAAAAAUCUGGGUAAGAUAUUCUGUUAACUCGGGAGAAGGUGUUAGGCAUUUCUGAGUUCCGUGGUUCUAGCACGGUCCCUCAACUGUUAUUAUUGGCGUAUUAUCUGAUUUUAAUAUAUGUUUUAGCCUAUGGUUCAAUUUUACCUUUAACCGCCUUAUUUAAUUAUUUUAAAGGAAAAUUGCGAUGUCAUUUAAAAUAUGUCUUGAAUCACAUCACAUAAAUGCACUCGCGGCUUUUGACAUAUUUUAUCUACAUUGUUAAGAUUUGGAUUUGGGUCACAUAAAUGCGCACUCGAGUUUAGGGAAGUUAAAUUAAUAUUAUGCACUAAUGGCACACCUCGAUUUCUAAAAGAUUUAAAUUAGUUAAGUGAGGGUCAUACAUUAUGGGAUUCAUUUGUGAAUGGCACGCCCCACUUUAUUUCGAAGGAUACGUACUCAACUAAAGCGAACUACGGAUGUUCAAAAGUGACCAUCUAACUUGUUUGGAAUCGAUUUCAGACAUGUAGAAAUUUAUAGAUAUAAUUUUGAAAGCUUCAAUAACAAAUGGGAGGCAGCCAAGGAUAUUAUGACUGUUCAUACAGAGACAAAUACAAACCUUUAAUGCAAUUAUGCAGUAGCACCAGACAAAAAAAACUGCAGCAUAUAUAAAGUAAAAUCUUUAUCUAAAGGUAAUUGGGCAUUGUGUUAUUUAUACAUAUGGUGAAUUAGUUGCGAUCAAUCAACAUCUGCUAGUAGUAGUGAUCUCUAUUGCAAAGAAUGAAGAUUCAAAAGGAAGCAAUUAUAGGAGUCUGUAUCACGGUGAUAGAAAAAUAAGAACAUGUUCUCUUAACAAACACGCCAUCAAUAAUGUUAAAAUGUUUCAUGUAAACGUAGAUUUACCUUACAUCGACAUCAAACUGACAACCAUAUAAUAUGGAUUAUUACAAUAAAAUUAACUCAAACAACUUAUAAGAACGGAAUCAAAUAGAACAAAGAGAGAGCAGAAAUUUACCUCUAUAUCUCAGAACAUCCGGAUGCGUUACAUGGCCGGCUCGACCAGGAACCACGGCAACAACAAACCUUAACACGGAUUCGCAGACUCGAACCUCAAAUCGACGACUGGAAACGGAUUUAAACUCUAAACGAUACUCAACUUUAGUUAAACUUUAUGUUUCGAAAAUCUGUUCGUGUGUGUGACCAUGUGUUCGUGUUUCUCGGAAGAAGGGUCUGUUGGUUUUAUGAAGAAGAAGCAGCAGCUUCUCUCCGUCUAUGGCUGCUAGGUCUAUUGCAUUUUGAGGUCCGUUCGGCUGAAUGAGAAAUAGUGGCUAGGUCAGGUUAAGGGAGUGGUCAAUGGAGGUUCGACGAAGGAGAUGACUCGGGGUGUGGGGUCUAGUUGAAGAAAAAGCAAAAUCGUGGAUCUUCGAUGGUGCCUCCAAUAGAGGUCCUAGUCGUGAAAAUGAAGAAGCAGCAGAAUGGAUGGGGGUCGGUUCUUUUGUGUUACAGUGGCGC